GGAUUAGAUACCCUGGUAGUCCACGCCGUAAACGAUGUCUACUCGGAGUUUGGUGUCUUGAACACUGGGCUCUCAAGCUAACGCAUUAAGUAGACCGCCUGGGGAGUACGGCCGCAAGGUUAAAACUCAAAUGAAUUGACGGGGGCCCGCACAAGCGGUGGAGCAUGUGGUUUAAUUCGAUGCAACGCGAAGAACCUUACCUACUCUUGACAUCCACGGAAUUUGGUAGAGAUACCUUAGUGCCUUCGGGAACCGUGAGACAGGUGCUGCAUGGCUGUCGUCAGCUCGUGCCG
rnacentral:rRNA from 1 species